AGAGCGUAGAGUGAAUGCCUUGGCAUUGGGAGCCGAUGAAGGACGUGGUUAACUGCGAAAAGCUACGGGGAGUCGUAAGCAGACAUUGAUCCGUAGAUGUCCGAAUGGAGCAAUCCGCAUGGAGUUAGUCCAUGCAUCCAUAAGUGAAUUCAUAGCUUAUGGAGGGGAACCGCCUGAACUGAAACAUCUAAGUAGGGCGAGGAAGAGAAAUCAAACGAGAUUUCGUAAGUAGUGGCGAGCGAACGCGAAAGAGGCUAAACCAAGAGAAGAAAUUCUUUUGGGGUUACGGACUGCGAUAUGUAUCUGAGGACUUAGCAGAAUGGUAUGGGAAAGCCAACCAGAGAAUGUGAUAGUCAUGUAUGCGAAAAGGAAUCAGAGCUAGCAGGAUCCAAAGUACCGCGGGACACGAGGAAUCCCGUGGGAAGUCGGGGGGACCACCCUCCAAGCCUAAAUACUACCCAAUGACCGAUAGCGAAAAGUACUGUGAAGGAACGGUGAAAAGAACCCCGGGAGGGGAGUGAAAAGAACCUGAAACUCUAUGCUUACAAGCACAUAGAGCACGUCAAAGUGUGAUAUGGUACCUUUUGUAGAAUGGUCCGGCGAGUUAUUGUAUGCAGCAAGGUUAAGGUCUUCAGGACUGAAGCCGAAGCGAGAGCGAGUCUGACAAGGGCGAUAAGUUGUAUGCAAUAGACCCGAAACCGGGUGACCUAGCCAUGUUCAGGUUGAAGUGGAGGUAAAGCUCCAUGGAGGACCGAACCGACCUCCGUUGAAAAGGCGGCGGAUGAAAUGUGGCUAGCGGAGAAAUUCCAAUCGAACCCGGAAAUAGCUGGUUCUCCCCGAAAUAGCUUUAGGGCUAGCGUUGUAUUAGAUUUCUGGGGGUAAAGCACUGAAUAGGCUAGGGGCCGAGAGGUUACUGAACCUUAUCAAACUAAGAAUACCAGAAAAUUGAUGUACAGCAGUCAGACUAUGUGAGAUAAGUCUCAUAGUCAAAAGGGAAACAGCCCAGACCCACAGCUAAGGUCCCAAAACAGAUUUAAGUGGAAAAGGAUGUGGGAUUGCCCAGACAACCAGGAUGUUGGCUUAGAAGCAGCCACACAUUAAAAGAGUGCGUAAUAGCUCACUGGUCGAGUGAUCCUGCGCCGAAAAUUCAACGGGGCUAAAAUUUGUACCGAAGCUUGGGCUUGAUACUUUGUAUCAGGGGUAGGGGAGCGUCAUGUACGAGGUGAAGUCGUAGCGGAAGCGGCGGUGGAUUGUACAUGAGAGAGAAUGCCGGAAUGAGUAGCGAGAAUUAUGUGAGAAUCAUAAUGGCCGAAAAUCUAAGGUUUCCUGAGGAAGGUUCGUCCGCUCAGGGUAAGCCGGGAGCUAAGGUGAGGCGGAAACGCGUAGCCGAUGCACAUACGGUAGAGAUUCCGUAGCCUCCGAAAAGUAAAGCACAGGGACGCUUCAGAAGUGUUACGCCGGGCGAUGGUUGCCCCGGUUGUAAAGGACACAAUUGAGUGGAAGGUAAUAUGGAUGGAGACAAGAAAAGCUGUGUGUAUCUGGAAGGAGCCCGUACCGCAAACCGACACAGGUAGAUAGGAAGAAGAUUCUAAGGCCAGCGGGAGAAGGGUUGUUAAGGAACUCGGCAAGUUGACCCCGUAACUUCGGGAGAAGGGGUGCUUACGAAGGUAAGCCGCAGAGAAUAGGCCCAAGCGACUGUUUAGCAAAAACACAGCUCUAUGCUAAAUCGAAAGAUGACGUAUAUGGGGUGACACCUGCCCGGUGCUGGAAGGUUAAGAGGAGAUGUGAGAGCAUUGAAUUGAAGCCCCAGUAAACGGCGGCCGUAACUAUAACGGUCCUAAGGUAGCGAAAUUCCUUGUCAGGUAAGUUCUGACCCGCACGAAAGGCGUAACGAUUUGGGCGCUGUCUCAGCUGUAGACUCGGUGAAGUCUUAGUACCUGUGAAGAUGCAGGUUACCCGCGACUAGACGGAAAGACCCCAUGGAGCUUCACUGCAGGUUGAUAUUGGGAUUUGAUGCAGCAUGUACAGGAUAGGUAGGAGGCAAAGAGAUGGAUACGCCAGUAUUCAAGGAGCCGCUGUUGGGAUACUACCCCUGUUGUAUUGGAUUUCUAACCGGACGACGUAGAGCCGUUGACGGGACAGUGUCAGUCGGGCAGUUUGACUGGGGCGGUCGCCUCCCAAAGAGUAACGGAGGCGCCCAAAGAUACCCUCAGCUUGGAUGGAAACCAAGCGCAGAGUGCAAAGGCAAAAGGGUGUUUGACUGCGAGACCCACAAGUCGAGCAGGGACGAAAGUCGGGCUUAGUGAUCCGGCGGUGCUGAAUGGAAAGGCCGUCGCUCAACGGAUAAAAGCUACCCUGGGGAUAACAGGCUGAUCUCCCCCAAGAGUCCACAUCGACGGGGAGGUUUGGCACCUCGAUGUCGGCUCAUCGCAUCCUGGGGCUGUAGUAGGUCCCAAGGGUUGGGCUGUUCGCCCAUUAAAGCGGUACGCGAGCUGGGUUCAGAACGUCGUGAGACAGUUCGGUCCCUAUCUGUCGUGGGCGCAGGAAAUUUGAGAAGAGCUGUCCUCAGUACGAGAGGACCGGGAUGGACGCAUCAAUGGUGGACCAGUUGUCACGCCAGUGGCAUAGCUGGGUAGCUAAAUGCGGAAGGGAUAAACGCUGAAGGCAUCUAAGUGUGAAACCCACUUCAAGAUGAGAUUUCCCAUUGC
rnacentral:rRNA from 1 species